UACGGAGGGUGCGAGCGUUGUCCGGAUUUAUUGGGCGUAAAGAGCGUGUAGGCGGCCAUUUAGGUCCGGUGUGAAAACUCGAGGCUUAACCUCGAGAUGUCAUCGGAAACCAUUUGGCUAGAGUCCGGAAGAGGAGAGUGGAAUUCCUGGUGUAGCGGUGAAAUGCGUAGAUAUCUGGAGGAAGACCGGUGGCGAAGGCGGCACCCUGGACCGGUAUUGACGCUGAGGCGCGAAAGCUAGGGGAGCAAACGGG
rnacentral:rRNA from 1 species